rnacentral:rRNA from 1 species
GAAACAGCAGCCGCCACGGUAAUACGGAGGGAGCUAGCGUUGUUCGGAAUUACUGGGCGUAAAGCGCACGUAGGCGGUUAUUCAAGUCAGAGGUGAAAGCCCGGGGCUCAACCCCGGAACUGCCUUUGAAACUAGAUGACUAGAAUCUUGGAGAGGUCAGUGGAAUUCCGAGUGUAGAGGUGAAAUUCGUAGAUAUUCGGAAGAACACCAGUGGCGAAGGUGACUGACUGGACAAGUAUUGACGCUGAGGUGCGAAAGCGCGGGGAGCAAACAGGAUUAGAUACCCCAGUAGUCCCUGUCUCUUAUAC